ACGGGAGGCAGCAGUGGGGAAUAUUGCACAAUGGCGAAAGCCUGAUGCAGCGACGCCGCGUGAACGAAGAAGUAUUUCGGUAUGUAAAGUUCUAUCAGCAGGGAAGAAAAAUGACGGUACCUGACUAAGAAGCACCGGCUAAAUACGUGCCAGCAGCCGCGGUAAUACGUAUGGUGCAAGCGUUAUCCGGAUUUACUGGGUGUAAAGGGCGCGUAGGCGGGGAUGCAAGUCAGAUGUGAAAUCUAUGGGCUUAACCCAUAAACUGCAUUUGAAACUGUAUCUCUUGAGUGUCGGAGAGGUAGAUGGAAUUCCUAGUGUAGCGGUGAAAUGCGUAGAUAUUAGGAGGAACACCAGUGGCGAAGGCGAUCUACUGGACGAUAACUGACGCUGAGGCGCGAAAGCGUGGGGAGCAAACAGGAUUAGAUACCCUGGUA
rnacentral:rRNA from 1 species